rnacentral:lncRNA from 1 species
AUGUAACAGCUUUUUAAUGUUCUGCAUCUAAGAAGUGCUCCCAGCUCCAUGUUGGCUUUUCCCCAGGUCGUGUGCUGACUGCUGAGCUGCAAAGCUGUGCCUCCUCAAAGGUCUGCUCUGUCCAUCUCUUCUGUCCUGUGAGCCACUGACCUCCACAUCAAUGGCAGCUGAACAUUAAUGUGAUGAACAAUGCUUUACUUCCAGACAGCCUGCCGCAUGGCUUGGGAGGAGGAAAGAGAGGAAAAACAAAGGUGAAAAAGAGGAUGGCUGGUAUUUACCUGAGCCCUGUGUUCAUGACUCAAUUCCUACUCUGUGCACAUUGCUCUCUAACAGUGAAGGAAAUAGAAUUCUAAUGCUUUCAUAUGCAGUGGAUAUAUCCUUUUCUCUUCUGGAUGGAUAGACAAAUAGGUAGAUGUUUAUGAACAGUUCUUUGUCACAUGGGAUUGUAUAAAUUCCCCUCUGGGAAGUGAAAAAGCUGCAGUGAAGAUUGAUAGCAAUUCCCUGGGAGAGGUAAGCUCUGACUUCUACCAAACU